UAGGGAAGUCUUCCACAAUGGGCGAAAGCCUGAUGGAGCAACGCCGCGUGUGUGAUGAAGGGUUUCGGCUCGUAAAACACUGUUGUAAGAGAAGAAUGACAUUGAGAGUAACUGUUCAAUGUGUGACGGUAUCUUACCAGAAAGGAACGGCUAAAUACGUGCCUG
rnacentral:rRNA from 1 species